GAUGAACGCUAGCGACAGGCCUAACACAUGCAAGUCGAGGGGCAGCGAAGUAGGUAGCAAUACCUCUGUCGGCGACCGGCGCACGGGUGAGUAACACGUAUGCAACUCCACCUGUAACAGGGGGAUAACCCCGGAGAAAUCCCGGACUAAUACCCCCAUAAUAUGGGCGCUCCGCAUGGAGGGCUCAUAUUAUGGGGGUAUUAGUUUUAUGUUAAAGAAAUUCGGUUACAGAUGAACAUGCGUUCCAUUAGCUGGUUGGUGAGGUAACGGCCCACCAAGGCGACGUAUCAGUAGCCGGCCUGAGAGGGUGAACGGCCACAUUGGGACUGAGACA
rnacentral:rRNA from 1 species